GAGAGGGAGGGAGAGAGAGAGAGAGGGGACGCGUCAUCCAGACAUAAAUGUGCUGUUACGCAGCCGGACGGAGACUCGCAUCCAGGACGCGGAGCUCGUAGUCGGGAAAACCCCUCGGUGGCUCCGUUCCUAAGUGCGCACUUUUGGAUGAAGCGUGUCGGUUCAGGGUUUUUCCCCCAGUUUUGAGGGGAAGAAAGACUCUCCUAGUUUUUUUUUUUCCAUUAAUAUCAAUUAUUACAAUUAUGUGUAAUAUGGAGACGAUCAUUUCGCAGGGCCCAUAAAUAGAUGCCGGGCCUUUCAUCUCCCCCCGUACGGCCUCGGUGGUUACAGCCGGAUCCACGGCGGUGCGACGGGCGCUGCGUUUGGAGAAGGACGAGGACGUUGUUUUCCGUCUCCUUCGUGUCGAGGGUUUCACUUUUGUUCACGACCCGCGGUGAGCGCGUAUCUGUCGGGCCGAUCGGAAGCAGCAGCAUCUGUCCGGAAAAGGUCACGUGUCCACUCGACUUCCGACUCCAUCCCGUCCUCUUCUUCUCCCACGCGGUUGUGGGGCGCUGAGGUUGUUUGUCUGAUAUUUACAGUGUGUUGGCCACCAAAAGGGGGUUUGGGAG
ensembl:lncRNA